CCUCUAUCUUGCCCAACCUUAGAAAAUCAAGUAAAUAAAUAAAAGGAACACUUGAGUCAGUUUUUGCUUUGUUCCAUUAGAAAUUCUGAGAAAAGCUAGAUUUCCAUGGGCUUCAGUGGGGAGAGGAGAGCAUAAAGUUUCAUGAAGGGAACCAAGCAGAGUUCCAGCAUGGGGCCUCUGGAGGGAAGGAACUGGUUCUCACUCAACCCUGUUUCCCUCACAGCUUCUAGAACAGGGUCCUAGAUUAGAUAUACUGCGUCCUGAAUGAAUGAAUCAAUCAAUGGGAAUGUAUUCGAGCUGGGCGUGGAAAGACUAAGGAUAAGGACCAUUUCUUUAUUUUCCUAGUGAACAAGAGUGCCUGAUACACAUCUCCCUGAGGUCCAAGAACACCUUCCAAUUCCAGCUCCAUCGUACCUGGAGUCCUCCCACCCCAGCAUUCAGGAUGAAAUAGAGAGUGGUCCCACUAGCCCUGCCAGAAACCCACAAAAACACUGGUGACUGGGCAGUCACAACCAACUCCCCUCUCUCUGUGACAGCAACACUCAGCAGACAUUCAUGGCACCCGCUGGACUGCAGCAUGAUGGAAAACCUGAGCACUCAUAUGACAAACAAGACGAGGUCCACUCCAGCCUCGCAGAAGUGAGUGGUAAUAAAGGAAGCUGCAAGAGUAUACGGUAAAUUCCAACCAACAUCAGGGGCCUUGAGGAUGGACAGGACAACUCUCCACUUUGGCAGGAAGGCAAAACAUGACUGGCAAGACCCUUUCAUCUCCAGCAGCCACAGAGCAGCCUGAGAUUGUCCAGAAGCCCAGAAGCUGCUCUGUCCAGGGACCUGCCCCGUCAUCCUCCCAGGCGAAGUGAAGGCCAAAUAGCCCAAGAGACGGCCAUGUAGUCCAGCUGCCGACCUCUUGUUCCAUCUGGCCUGACUGCUGACUCUGAGCAUGUGGUCCAGAACCUCCCAGCCUGCCCCCUGUUGAGUGAAGAGUUUGGGCCUAGUCCCUUCUCUCCAUUGUCCUCACACAGCUUCUAAAUUCCUGCCACGGAGUUGCAGGGGCCAAUCUCAAGCUACUGCUAAGACAGAUGAGACCCUUGCUCCCUUGCCACCUGCAGGGUUCCCGCUGAACCUUGCUGCUUUGUCUCAGAGGAUCCUGGGUCUGCACACGCGCAAACAGCAGCUGGACUUCGGCAGCUUCCAUUAUGAAGGGAGGAGCCACGAAGAGGGAAGGAGGGGGCAGCUUUGGUUCCUACAUUCCAGAAAACAUCAAAAACACAUGCCUGAUGCACAUGACUUCAUCCAUCCUCUCUCCACCCACAGGAGAAGGGUUCCUAACACCAGCCACACUGAACAGAUGAGGGAACUGAGGCACAGACUGCUCACAGGGAGCUUGGAAGGCCCAAGAUUUCCUGCAGGCAAUCUGGCACCGGAGUCUCUGCUCUGAACCAUGCUGCCUGCUGGCAUCAGGUGAGCAUGGCACUCAUUGACUUACUGUUCAAACCUAAGGUGCUUCAGUGUGAAUUCAUUAAUCUCUCCAUUCAUAAAAAAGUCAAAACAAAUGAAUAAAAACAUUUAUCAAGUACCUGAC
rnacentral:lncRNA from 10 species